rnacentral:lncRNA from 1 species
GGGUGGGGAUGUUGACCCUUUACAAGUUUUCAAACAAGAGGGGGUGGGGUGAGCCCCUAGGGACAUCACUUUUAUUUCAUUUCAUUUGUUUUAUUGUCCCCUACAAGAAUAUAUAUGGAUUAGGGGUGGGGAUCUGGACCGUUUACAAGAUAAUAGCACAUUCUCAAAUUGAACGGGGUGGGGAUGACCCACGGGGACUUCCCUUUAAUUUCAUUUGAUUUGUUUUAUCUUCCCAUUCAAGAAUAUAUAUGGUUUAGGGGUGGGGAUCUGGACCGUUUACAAGAUAAAAGCACAUUCUCAAAUUGAAGGGGGUGGGGAUGACCCCCAGGGACUCCCCUAUAUUUCAUGUGAUUUGUUUUAUUGUCCUAUAAUCAUUUCUGAAGACUGCAUGUAUCUAUCACUUACAGUUUUCAAGUUAUAUUCAUUUGAAAAUUUUAGAAAAUAAAAUCCCAUAGGGUUCUAUAGUAAACCCCUCCCUCCUUUCUACCCCCCAAAAUACCCCUUAACAGACCCCAAUGCACAAACAAAAGAUUGAUGGCUCACCUAGACAUGUUAGUCUAACAUAUUGUAAAAUCCUAAGUAAAUCUGACAAGCCGUUUAGGAGAAGCGCUGCGGACAAGUUCAUUUUUAAAGUGGCGGAAGAAGAAGA